UCGUGGUAUUGAAUCUUACCAGAGAAUAAAGAAACCGUUUACCUCAACCAGAGUUAUAUUUCAUAGAAUUAUGUUGACCAUGAUCCAAAUAUUGCCAUGGAUGUGCACUUGUGUCUAAGGCUUAUGCUUUGCAAAAGGUUCACCAUUGUACUUAAGUUACAGUGGGUUUUACUUCCAACCUGGCAUAUAAAUGCACAUAGUAUCUGAAGUUAUUUGUCAAUAACUGGUGAUCAGACUAUUUCAAACGAAUACGUUUUUAAAGGCUGAGAAGUUGAAAGUUAGAAGUCUGCAGACUGCAACGUAAAUCAAUUUUCAACACAUGAUUUCCUGAAUAAAUUUAGUUUUCGAUUGAAAUGAGAAUAAACUGAACUUAUAGAUAUGUUGAAAAUUAACUAUUUUAUAUUUUAAGCGUUCGCUAAACGCAAGUAAAGCAAUAAUCUAUAGAUGCAAAUAUACUUUAUAUUUUGCUUUAGUUUAAAAAAAAAUUAUUGUUACUUUUAUAUUCAUGUUGUAAUUGUAAAUUGCAAUUUUAAAAUGAUUUUCAUUAUAACUUC